GACGUAGGGUGUGAGCGUUGUCCGGAUUUAUUGGGCGUAAAGAGCUCGUAGGCGGCUCGUCGCGUCGGCUGUGAAAACCCGCGGCUUAACUGUGGGCUUGCAGCUGAUACGGGCGGGCUAGAGUUCGGUAGGGGAGACUGGAAUUCCUGGUGUAGCGGUGAAAUGCGCAGAUAUCAGGAGGAACACCGGUGGCGAAGGCGGGUCUCUGGGCCGAUACUGACGCUGAGGAGCGAAAGCAUGGGUAGCGAACAGG
rnacentral:rRNA from 1 species